rnacentral:rRNA from 1 species
UUGAACGCUGGCGGCAGGCCUAACACAUGCAAGUCGAGCGGUAGCACAGAGAGCUUGCUCUCGGGUGACGAGCGGCGGACGGGUGAGUAAUGUCUGGGAAACUGCCUGAUGGAGGGGGAUAACUACUGGAAACGGUAGCUAAUACCGCAUAAUGUCGCAAGACCAAAGUGGGGGACCUUCGGGCCUCAUGCCAUCAGAUGUGCCCAGAUGGGAUUAGCUAGUAGGUGGGGUAACGGCUCACCUAGGCGACGAUCCCUAGCUGGUCUGAGAGGAUGACCAGCCACACUGGAACUGAGACACGGUCCAGACUCCUACGGGAGGCAGCAGUGGGGAAUAUUGCACAAUGGGCGCAAGCCUGAUGCAGCCAUGCCGCGUGUGUGAAGAAGGCCUUCGGGUUGUAAAGCACUUUCAGCGGGGAGGAAGGCGUUAAGGUUAAUAACCUUGGCGAUUGACGUUACCCGCAGAAGAAGCACCGGCUAACUCCGUGCCAGCAGCCGCGGUAAUACGGAGGGUGCAAGCGUUAAUCGGAAUUACUGGGCGUAAAGCGCACGCAGGCGGUCUGUCAAGUCGGAUGUGAAAUCCCCGGGCUCAACCUGGGAACUGCAUUCGAAACUGGCAGGCUAGAGUCUUGUAGAGGGGGGUAGAAUUCCAGGUGUAGCGGUGAAAUGCGUAGAGAUCUGGAGGAAUACCGGUGGCGAAGGCGGCCCCCUGGACAAAGACUGACGCUCAGGUGCGAAAGCGUGGGGAGCAAACAGGAUUAGAUACCCUGGUAGUCCACGCCGUAAACGAUGUCGAUUUGGAGGUUGUGCCCUUGAGGCGUGGCUUCCGGAGCUAACGCGUUAAAUCGACCGCCUGGGGAGUACGGCCGCAAGGUUAAAACUCAAAUGAAUUGACGGGGGCCCGCACAAGCGGUGGAGCAUGUGGUUUAAUUCGAUGCAACGCGAAGAACCUUACCUGGUCUUGACAUCCACAGAACUUUCCAGAGAUGGAUUGGUGCCUUCGGGAACUGUGAGACAGGUGCUGCAUGGCUGUCGUCAGCUCGUGUUGUGAAAUGUUGGGUUAAGUCCCGCAACGAGCGCAACCCUUAUCCUUUGUUGCCAGCGGUUAGGCCGGGAACUCAAAGGAGACUGCCAGUGAUAAACUGGAGGAAGGUGGGGAUGACGUCAAGUCAUCAUGGCCCUUACGACCAGGGCUACACACGUGCUACAAUGGCAUAUACAAAGAGAAGCGACCUCGCGAGAGCAAGCGGACCUCAUAAAGUAUGUUGUAGUCCGGAUUGGAGUCUGCAACUCGACUCCAUGAAGUCGGAAUCGCUAGUAAUCGUAGAUCAGAAUGCUACGGUGAAUACGUUCCCGGGCCUUGUACACACCGCCCGUCACACCAUGGGAGUGGGUUGCAAAAGAAGUAGGUAGCUUAACCUUCGGGAGGGCGCUUACCACUUUGUGAUUCAUGACUGGGGUG